AUGUAGAGUAAAAAUAUUUAAAAGAAGAAUCGACUACUUGGUGACUCACUGGAUAUGCAUGGUGUUACAUACUAACAAAAACUUAAAUUUAACAUAUGUUUAAAGAGUGCAGUGUUUCUAGAAUAUUUUCAAAAGUUAUCAUUCGUGCAAAAUUUUCUAUUUUGAAUCCUUCUGUAGGCUGGUCAGGGGUGUCAUUUGGGGGGUCAGGGUGUGCGGUUGCACCUUUACUUUAAAAACAGUCCCAAUUGGCCUGUAAAAAUAAUGCACCAAUUUUUUAUACAUCACUUCAAUUUCAAAAACAUUGCAUUAUCAUGGUCGGAUUUGUUUAUUGACAUGGGUCAAUAAACAAAUAUUCUGUUAUCAAUUAAAAGAGUAAAAAAUAAAUAUAUCAUACUAAACCAUCGUUAUUUAAACCGGGCGUAAGAUAUUGAUGUUCUUAACUGUUAUCACGAUUUUUUUGACAUGCAGUUUAUAGCAGUAAUUGAUAAUGGUAAUGAACUGAUAAAUAUAAAAUUCAACGAUUGCUAUGGCCCCGAUGUUGCGUUAUAUUCUUUAAUAUUUACAUAGUAAGUAUUAUUAUACUUUAUAUUUACUACUUAUUUUGAUUGUGAUUCAUAAUCUUUGGAAAAAUUAGAAGAUGAAUAAUUUACUUAAAUUAAAGAUGACAAGACAAAACCUAAUUCAUGGAUUAAGCCAAUAGAUAUCAGCAGCUAAUAUUAUUCCAACAAAGUAGUAUAUUUCUUGUCUACUUACAUUAUAACUCUAAUGCUUCAUGGAUUUAAUAAGUUCUGAACCAACAAAAAUUAAUGCAAAUAAAUUCCUACUUUAUACAUAAGUGAGAAAAUAUUGAUUGAUAAGGAAUACUAAAAGAAAUAUUAAUUUAUAUUAUUAGAUGUAUAUAUAAUUUAAGGCGACAGAAGUAGAGGUUCAAAUAACUCAUGGAAGACAUUAUAUAAAUAUUCAUUCGUUUUGUUAUUUUUAAUAUAAUAUGAUUACAAAAUAAAAUAGUUAUAAUUGGAGAUGAUUGAAUUUACAAACCAUCUCUUAUCUAUCUCCAUGUAACAAUUCAUAAGAAGUUUAAAAUAAAAUUGAAAAAGACACAAAAACAAGAAUGUAAUGAUAAAUAAAUGUAGCAUAUUUAUAUAUUAUUAGGAGUUCAUAACGAUUAUUUAAAAAAAUAUUUAAAGUAUAACCUAAUAAGUUAAUAAUUAAUAUUUUAGUGUUGAGUAAUUUUUUUUUAAAUAUAUUAAAUACUUUUCAAAUAUACUGAGAUCGUUUAAUAUUUCAGUUCUUAUUUGAUACAAAAAAUAAAAUUAUAAAACAAAGUUAUGUGUUAAACAGUUGGAAAAUAGAUUUAAAUGUGUUAAUCUCAAAAAUGGUGUUAUACACACGCACUAAGAAAUUUUCAAAAUUAAGACAAAAUAUUACCAAAUAAAAAUUUAUAAUUUUAUAAAAAAUUAAUACAUUUGAAUAUAAUAAAGAAUAAUACAAUUAUUUAUGUAUAAUUUAGUAUUAA